GGCGAACGGGUGAGUAACACGUGGGCAAUCUGCCCUUCACUCUGGGACAAGCCCUGGAAACGGGGUCUAAUACCGGAUACUGACCUGCCAAGGCAUCUUGGCGGGUCGAAAGCUCCGGCGGUGAAGGAUGAGCCCGCGGCCUAUCAGCUUGUUGGUGAGGUAAUGGCUCACCAAGGCGACGACGGGUAGCCGGCCUGAGAGGGCGACCGGCCACACUGGGACUGAGACACGGCCCAGACUCCUACGGGAGGCAGCAGUGGGGAAUAUUGCACAAUGGGCGAAAGCCUGAUGCAGCGACGCCGCGUGAGGGAUGACGGCCUUCGGGUUGUAAACCUCUUUCAGCAGGGAAGAAGCGAAAGUGACGGUACCUGCAGAAGAAGCGCCGGCUAACUACGUGCCAGCAGCCGCGGUAAUACGUAGGGCGCAAGCGUUGUCCGGAAUUAUUGGGCGUAAAGAGCUCGUAGGCGGCUUGUCACGUCGGUUGUGAAAGCCCGGGGCUUAACCCCGGGUCUGCAGUCGAUACGGGCAGGCUAGAGUUCGGUAGGGGAGAUCGGAAUUCCUGGUGUAGCGGUGAAAUGCGCAGAUAUCAGGAGGAACACCGGUGGCGAAGGCGGAUCUCUGGGCCGAUACUGACGCUGAGGAGCGAAAGCGUGGGGAGCGAACAGGAUUAGAUACCCUGGUAGUCCACGCCGUAAACGGUGGGCACUAGGUGUGGGCAACAUUCCACGUUGUCCGUGCCGCAGCUAACGCAUUAAGUGC
rnacentral:rRNA from 1 species